ACUCUUCCUGGAUUGUAAAGUCUGAGCUUGUGGAUAUACCAUGUUGGGUGAAUGUUAAUAUUAUCACGUGCCAACCUGAAUUUGUGGUUUAUAAAUGUUCAGAAAUGAAGGAAGUCCAUGCAAAAAUUUCAAGCUUUUCUUACUUGAAUAAAAAUCUGAUCAUGACCAUAUUAAUAAUGUAUUUUCUGUUUUUUGCCGGUUCCGUUUGGUCUGGUAUAGGGAGCGUGACAUCGAUCGGUGUCGAGGAUGAUGUGUCCUGGCAGUUUCAGGCAGCAGUGGCUUCCUUCCCUGCCUCCAGGGAGCGUGACAUCGAUCGGUGUCGAGGAUGACGUGGCCUGACAAUUUCAGGCAGCAGUGGCUUCCUUCUCUGCCUCCAGGGUCAACACCUGUUUGCAGGCUCGAAGCUCCGCCUCCUCAGGGUCAGAAACCGAAGGGAAAAAAUGGCAAGCACCAGCAAGGUAACUUCCAUGGUGGUCACGGACAACCACUCCUCCGCCUCCAUUUCCAGAAGACUUUGCCAACGCACCGUCUGCAUUUAUCUUCGUCCAUCCCAUUGUCGGAGGGAGCCAGUGCUCCUUCUGAACAGGGGUUUUAGCAGGUUUUGGAUUCUGGAUGUUCCGCCACUCCUCAGUGAGGUGCAAAGCCCUCUUGGCAAUCAACUCCGGGUUCU